UUAGCUCGUCCGUUAGGCCCCCAGUAAACAUUUCCUGAAUAAAUGAUAUCUCUCAGCAUGCAGAUUCAUGUGAACAAUGCUCUAAUUUCUUAAGAAAAUGGGGAUUCUGUGAAUUAAUAGGAUGUUUUACAGAAAUGGUAUGGAGAAUGGGACUGAAGAGACAGUGCUAGUUUAGAAGAUAACUUUAGUCCUUCCAGUGCCACUAACAGUGAAUCCAUGUUGCUGAAAAUGUUACCCAGAAGUGUUUAUCAUGUAUAAGUUAUGUGGUUUCAGUGUGUGAUUUGCACUUGCUUUUGGUAGAUUGCAGGACAAACAACCAGUAAAUGUAUCGAGUGGAUGGGGGGAGUAGGCUACACCAAAGAUUACCCUGUGGAGAAAUACUUCCGAGAUGCAAAGAUUGGUACGAUAUAUGAAGGAGCUUCCAACAUCCAGUUGAACACCAUUGCAAAGCAUAUCGAUGCAGAAUACUGACGUCUAUAGGAGUGGGACCCCUCCCUGGUGUCACUGCUGUAAAAUUUUAAACUGUUGUGUCUUGUUGGGAGUAAGUGCCUUGCAUGGGAAUAAACUUCCACAACAUUCGAAUA
rnacentral:sRNA from 1 species